UUGAUGGAGGAAAAGAUUUCCCAUGAGCCAGUGACUCAGGGCAUCUAUGUUAGGCUAAAGGAGAGAACACAGGGGGCUUUCCUGGGUCCUAGUAGGGUUUGUCCACAGCCAGUCUCAGAGCAGAAGUUGGAGGAACCUUAUCAAGGACUCUAGAACACUUAAAGUGGCUUUUCACUGCCUGAUGACAUUUUUUUUCCAGAACCACGAUUGUGUCCACUACUCAUGAGAUGCAGGCACUUGGGGAAUUAAUAAGUUCAGAUAAUGCCAAUACUAUGAACUCAUGACCUAAAGGACAUAGUUGUUUUUCAGAUUUCACUUUAUUGGUCACAAUAAAAUAAAAGAAUAAAGCCCCAGGGUCAGAUAUAUUAUUAGCGAAUUAAACAUUAAUAUAUUUGAAUAAUUUUGGAUCUCUGACAUUGGACUUGAUGUUGGAAAUGUGUGAAAUGAAAUAAAUGGGGCCCUUGGUCAGCUCAUGGGAAGAGAUGUCUAUAGAAGCAGGGAUACUGGACAAAGCUCAUUCUCAAACAAACCAAGAUUUAAGGGAUGUGAAAAAGUGAGGAAAGAGAAAUGGAUUUUUCAUGUAGGUUUUUUUUUCUCCCACAGGAAAAAGGCAGUAGAAAUGGCUGCUGACUGCCUGGAGUUGGUGAUAGUUGCCUCAUCCUGAGCAGAGAACGUGGGAUACAUCGGUAGGAGGAUAGGCUACUGUGAGCAGAUAUGACUUCAUUACCUCAGGAAACAAGCUCAUUCUUGGUGGGCUGCAUACCUACCACGGUGCCUCAGUGAUACCCAGGCUCCCACCCCUUCUGUCUUGAGUGGAUUGGGAAGAAGGAAGGCAGCAGGCUCCAGGACACUACAUGACAUCCUGAAGCUUCCCAGCAUCUGGCUUACUCAUCAUUGCUUAACAUGGAACAGAGCUCAUAAAUCAGGGUGAAGAGCACUGGGGACAGAUCUGGCAAACACGUGAGCUUGGCGGAGCCCCUCAUGGUCCUGUCUUUCAGCUGGUUUAUUUCUUGAUCGAACACUUUCUUCCCUCUGUUUGAUGGGCUCUACCACAGCCCAGCAAAGGUGCAGUCACAUCCGUCCUUCGCUGUGAAGGGAUGUGGAAGAGCUGCCUCAGAUACUUGAGAUCCGUGGCUUCUUCAAAGCAAUGCGCAUGAAAACAUGAUGUGUUCUAAAGUGCUGACUCCCUCUUCAUGGUCCCAAAUUUCUCCAGCUUUAGGCUUCUGACAAUGGGCUAGCAUCCCUGAAGCAUCAUUAGACUGAAGGAGGAUGUAGGUAAAGGGAUGUUCCUGAGCACCUGUGAUCUGGCAGGAAGUACUUCAGUGGGUGGAACUGGAUGGACCAGAUGACUGGAGCACAAGAAUUAAUGGAGUAAGAAGGAACGUCUUCAUCUUUCAAAAACACUUGCCUUAGUUUGUGUGGACAACUGUUCGUCUACAGUCUGUGUCUUGGUGUCCUCUGCAAACAGAAAGACUGUUACCCACAAAAAAAUGACACUCCAGAGGAGCCAUGAUUUGGUUCUCAAAGUGAAGUCAUGUAGAUGGGAACUCUUCUCCAUGUGAUUUGGUGAAGGCAAGGCUCACCAUUCAAGUCAGCCCAUCGAGGUCCAGGGUAAAGGGGUGUUUUUCUUCAAUGUUCCUCACAGUAGACACCUAGCAAUACUAGAUUCUUAAGACUUAUUUUCAUGGAUGCUACAUUUUAAGGUCUUCAUUUUUUUGUUUAGUUGACUGACCUUGAAUUUAAUUGUUCAUAAUAGAUUGGUGGAGGAAAAAAGUCAGUGAAUGGUAGGUUGUUGACAAAGAUGUCUUCCAACAAUUUUUUCCAUGCCUUACCCAAAUGGCGUAUUGCCAUCAAGACGCAGGCGGAUUCCCUACCUCAUUUAUAAAUUGCUCUAACCCAGUGCAGUGGAAGCAAUGUUCUGGAAUUUCUCAGGUCAGACUUGAAGAGGACUUGCUGUUUUAAUCCAAAGUUUGUAUCUAUAUGUCAUUGAAGAAAGUUUGUGUCAGGCUGCACAUGGGGAGUAAGAGAGGCCCAACUAGUUCCCAGUCAUUCCAGCCCUGUUAACUGAGAUGCCAAAUAUGUGUGUCUAUGAUCUUGGGUGUUCCAGCCCUCGCUGAGCUCCUAGCUGAACGCAGCCAUGUGGCUGACCCCAGCUGACAUCACUGGGAAGGGUCCAACUGAGUCCAGCCAACCGACAGAGCCAUGAGAAAUAACAAAUCAUGCCGUCUUAAUCCCUGUGUCUUGAGGCAGUUUAUUAAGCAGCAGUAAAUAUCUGGAAGCCACAGGGAGCUAGGCUUGCCCAGCUCAGAACUCCCGAUUCACUGCAGGGGGAGAAUUUCUUAGUGGUCCCUUAUCUGGUAUGGAGACUUUGUCCCUGUCACACAUUGUGCUUCCUGUAGAGCAAUUGUAGGAAAUCAUACCAAAGGGUUGGUAUAAAUUUAAAAGCCAUAUCCUCAGGAUUUACCUAACAGAACUCCUGUCAUGGAAAGGGCAAAGAGAAGGAGUGCUCCCUGGGCAGAGUGAUGAAGAAGGUAGAAUUUGGUUCUGGGUUAGCCAUGUUAGCAUCUUGAUCUAACCCAGUAAACUCACCAGGCUUCACUAACCAGAAUAAGAGUCGCGACCGCCUGUCACUCUAUGUUUAGAAAGUGCUUCGAUGUUCUCUGUUUCACUGGCUGCUGACCUUAAACUUUUGAGAAAAAUAUACCUUAAAAGAGAAAGUCACUUUCUGUUGAGA